rnacentral:rRNA from 1 species
UACGGAGGAUCCAAGCGUUAUCCGGAAUUAUUGGGUUUAAAGGGUCCGCAGGCUGUUUGUUAAGUCAGGGGUGAAAUCCUACCGCUCAACGUACAGGCUGCCGGGAAUACUGCAGAGCUAGGGAGUGGGAGAGGUAGACGGUACUCGGUAGGAAGGGGUAAAAUCCUUUGAUCUAUUGAUGACCACCUGUGGCGAAGGCGGUCUACCAGAACACGUCCGACGGUGAGGGAUGAAAGCUGGGGGAGCAAACCGG